CUUGGCUACUCUGGUGUUGAUGGGGAGGUGGGAGAGGGGGCGGAGGCGGCGAGGGCUGCCCACUGAGUAGACCCGCUACGAGACCCUUGCGCCCCAGCUGUGGACCAAGUCUGGAGCUGACAGCUCCUCCAUUCAUCAAGGGGUCCCUACCAUGUGCUUUACCUGCGGGAGUCCACGUACCCAAAGAGCUGUAAGCCAUGGUCACCUCCGUGUUCUUGAUGAGAAAUGAGGGCUCGGAGAGGUGAAGGGACUGGUCCCUGGUCACGCCGCUGGAGAGGGGCAGAGCACUGAGCAGGUGGGCCUCGAAGCUCCAGCUGCUUCCACCCGCCAUGUGGCCGCUCACGGUUAGCAUGUGCAGCCCGGGCCAGUGGAUCCAGGCGAGGACAGGAAUCCCACAAGUUCUCCAGGGGCUGUCCUUGUCCCGGAGGACUCUCCUGGCCCUGUUGCUGAGACGCUGCCAAGCAGAGGGCUGUGGGCUUGGGCAACGGGGCCCCGUGCCAAGGCCAGGGUGGGCCCUGCCUUUGGUCUGGCCCAAACCUGGUACUCCAGAGAUUUGAAAACCAUCAGCAGCCCUCUGUCCUGUGAACAUAUACUAAGUUUUCCCAAGUUUGGGUGACAAAUGCUAGGGGCUUCCCUGGGCAGCCUCUGAAAUUCUGUGUGUGGCCUACACAGGUAGAGGUCCAUGGAGAAUAGGCAUGCUGGCUGCAGGUAAGAAACACAGCCAGUUGAUUGCUACUCCCUCACUCCAAAGCCUGCCGUGGCUCCCUACUGCCGAUAGCACUAAAUCCCAGCUCCUCAGCCUGGCAUUCCCUAGGCUAGGGGUCGAAUCGAAGCUGUAGCCACCAGCCUACACCAGAGCCACAGCCACGUGGGAUCCGAGCCGUGUCUGCAACCUACACCAUAGCUACCGGCCACGCCGGAUCCUUAACCCACUGAGCAAGGCCAGGGAUCAAACCCGCAACCUCAUGGUUCCUACUUGGAUUCGUUAACCACUGAGCCACGACGGGAACUCCCUAUUGUAGGAUUCUUACGCCAACACCCACGAGGACAGGAGGCAGAUGCUGAAUCUUAGCUGUUGAAUUUAAGAGGGAGCAUGUUAGGGUGAAAACUCCUGAAUGAUACUGGGCACACUGUGAGUGUUUUGGUGGCCACAGGUGUCUGUGCCAGGUGAGGGCACUUGCAGAGGACACGUGGCAUUUCGCCCUGCUGGGGUGGAGAACAGCCGCUGGGAAAUCAUUUUGAGUCGAAUUAUUAUUUCGGGGUGAAUUAUUUCUCUUUGCCGUGUUCUUGAUUUGAAUUUUCUCUGGGGCGUUGGUGGUGGUAGGCAUUUUUAAGAGUCACAAUGGAAACAAAUGGGAAAUUGUUAAAAUAUUGAUUGUAAUUUCUGGGCGACUUCACUGAUUUAAAAAAUAGGAACCUUUAAGAAAAAAAGCCCUCAUUAGCAAGCGAGCCGUUAAUUAAAGGGCUGUAGAAUGACUUGCAUCGAUUUCACCAUGAAACCAGAAAGCUGUGGCCACAGGUCAAUUUUCCCCUGCAGCUCCUUGCUUACCACAGAUGCCGCUUCCAGAAUGCCAUAGCACAGGCACGACUCAGGCCCCACAUCGGGAGAGGCUCCAUCCACUCUUCUCGGAUCCUUCAGACCAUUUGCGAUUUUGUGAUAAAAACACACGCGCGCGCGCGCGCACGCACGCACGUAGGCACGCACACAUGCGCGCACACAACGAAACCCUGACCUGUGGCUGUCCUAGCAACCACCGCUACCGCCAGCAUCAAGCCGGCGUGCUGGCCAGGCAGACGUUGGGAGAAAAACUGGACAAUGGGCUCCCACUGUUCUGGGUUUGGAAAACACGGUCGUCUUAACAAGAAAAGCAGCCAAAACUCUGAGCACACCUACUCGGCACCAGGCCCCGUGCUUCACAUUGUGAGCUCAAGGAAGCCUCCAAAGAGCUCAUUUCAGAGCUGCACACAGAGGCCCAGAGACGUUCGGCAACUGGACUGAGAUCACACAGCUGCUCCCUGGGGAAACCAAGAUUUGAAGGUCCCAGGUCGUCUGGGACUCGGCAGCCUACACGGGAUCCCGUUAAGACCUAGCUGACCAGGGAGUUAAGCCUCACAUGUUCACUUCCCCAGUUCCCAGCUCUUUUCUAAUCGGCCGGCUUGCACCAGCUCAUAAGAUAGGGUUGCUACAUUUUCAGCAAGGCUGUGAAUCUGUCGAUGACUCAGGUAGCUCGGAAUGGGCCAUGGUGGGAGUAGCUUCGCCACAGAAAUGGGCAAAUGCUGCAAAUCAGGGCCGGUUGUUAAACAUUUACCAACACGCUACUGCACGCAGGCGUUAGAGCCAGACGACCCGUGCAGACCCUGGGCCCACCGCUUACCGAGUGGCCCGGGCAAGUUUCCUAGUCUGGACAUUCGAGAGAACGGCAGUGCUUGACUCACCAGCUUGUUGCAAGCUUUAUGUAUAAUAAUCGACAUUAAGCACCCAGCGCAGCAGAAGUGAUGGGCUAGCCUUGGUUGUAAAAAUGUGUCCCGCAACUACUACUAAUUACUAGUAUUAUUAGGGGGCCAUCCCCGUUCUUCUAGAGCCCAGCCACAAGUCCUAAACUUUCUCCCUGCCUCCAGGCUUGUGCCCUCCGCCUCCAAUGCAUCCUCCUCGCAGAGGUGAUGGGGGAAACUUCUAGAAUACACAUAUUACCUCAUUUUUCCUGUGCUCGAAGUAUUUCCAUGGCUCCCUAUUACCCUCAGAGAAAAAUUGCUGCUUCAAACUACCACAACCGCGUAGUCUGCUGGGGCCCACCUAACAAAGUAGCACGGACCGAGGGGGGAGCUUAAACCACAGAAAGGCAAGGACCAACAACUCUGG
rnacentral:lncRNA from 1 species